rnacentral:rRNA from 1 species
UACGAAGGGGGCUAGCGUUGCUCGGAAUCACUGGGCGUAAAGCGCACGUAGGCGGAUUGUUAAGUCAGGGGUGAAAUCCUGGAGCUCAACUCCAGAACUGCCUUUGAUACUGGCGAUCUUGAGUCCGGGAGAGGUGAGUGGAACUGCGAGUGUAGAGGUGAAAUUCGUAGAUAUUCGCAAGAACACCAGUGGCGAAGGCGGCUCACUGGCCCGAUACUGACGCUGAGACGCGAAAGCGUGGGGAGCAAACAGG